CUUAUGUUCCGGCAGCUGCUGAUCUCUAAUGAAAUAUUCAUCGAACCUCAGUAAAAUGGAGAGAAAACAAGGUAUAAAUGCCUCCGACCUGCCUCCGAUAUCAUCUAGAAUGUUCUGGAUAGUGAAC
rnacentral:lncRNA from 14 species